AUGUCGGGUGCGGCGGUGUGCUGCAAACUUGCGAUGGGGGCGGCCAUGUGGUGCGUGGCCGUGUGUGUGGUGAUAUAUGGAGCUCCGGAGAUUCCUAUUGGAUUGUCGAGACUUGGUCUUGGUUCUGCCAUUGGUCUUUAUGAAGCUUUGGAACUGAGGGACGAUGGAUCUGACUACUUGGGAAAGGGUGUUUCCAAGGCCUUGGACAAGAAUAGUACGGUGCCGAUGGAGGCCCUCGCCGCCAGCGCCGAUGUGUCCAUGAUUGGGCAGUUUGGUGUUGGCUUCUAG
rnacentral:rRNA from 1 species